rnacentral:rRNA from 1 species
AUUGAACGCUGGCGGCAGGCCUAACACAUGCAAGUCGAGCGAGUGGCGGACGGGUGAGUAAUGUAUGGGGAACUGCCCGAUGGAGGGGGAUAACUACUGGAAACGGUAGCUAAUACCGCAUACCAUCGGAUGUACCCAUAUGGGAUUAGCUAGUAGGUGGGGUAACGGCUCACCUAGGCGACGAUCCCUAGCUGGUCUGAGAGGAUGAUCAGCCACACUGGAACUGAGACACGGCCCAGACUCCUACGGGAGGCAGCAGUGGGGAAUAUUGCACAAUGGGCGCAAGCCUGAUGCAGCCAUGCCGCGUGUAUGAAGAAGGCCUUAGGGUUGUAAAGUACUUUCAGCGGGGAGGCGUUACUCACAGAAGAAGCACCGGCUAACUCCGUGCCAGCAGCCGCGGUAAUUC